rnacentral:rRNA from 1 species
UUUAGAGUUUGAUCCUGCUUCAGGACGAACGCUGGCGGCGUGCUUUACACAUGCAAGUCGAACGAAUGAACUUCAGUGGACUUCUUCGGAAAGAAACAGAAAUGAUUUAGUGGCGAACGGGUGAGUAACACGUGAGAAACCUGCCUAUCACAAGGGGAUAGCCUCCGGAAACGGUGAUUAAUACCCUAUGACAUCACAAUAUCGCACGGUAUAGUGAUCAAAGAUUUAUCGGUGAUAGAUGGUCUUGCGGCUGAUUAGCUAGUUGGUAAGGUAACUGCUUACCAAGGCAACGAUCAGUAUCCGGCUUGAGAGGGUGAACGGACACACUGGAACUGAGACACGGUCCAGACUCCUACGGGAGGCAGCAGUGGGGAAUUUUGCACAAUGGGGGAAACCCUGAUGCAGCGACGUCGCGUGAACGAUGAAGGCCUUCGGGUUGUAAAGUUCUGUCCUAAGCGAAGAUAAUGACAGUAGCUUAGAAGAAAGCUCCGGCUAAAUACGUGCCAGCAGCCGCGGUAAUACGUAUGGAGCGAGCGUUGUCCGGAAUUAUUGGGCGUAAAGGGUACGUAGGCGGUUAUGUGGGUCUGUAUUAAAAGGCAUUGGCUCAACCAAUGUUCGGUAUGGAAACUGCAUAACUUGAGUAGAUGAGGGGUAAGUGGAAUUCCUAGUGUAGCGGUGAAAUGCUUAGAUAUUAGGAGGAAUACCAGUGGCGAAGGCGACUUACUGGAAUCUAACUGACGCUGAGGUACGAAAGCGUGGGGAGCAAACAGGAUUAGAUACCCUGGUAGUCCACGCAGUAAACGAUGAGUGCUAGGUGUCGGGAGUCAAAUCUCGGCGCCGCCGCUAACGCAUAAGCCACUCCGCCU